AUAAAAUAUAUCCCUUUUCAUAUAAAAGUUCACUAGGAUCUAUUAACAUUUAUUUCCCUUUCCACAUUUAUCCUACCUUCUUUGAUCCUCGUCGAAUUAUUUCACUCUUCAUUCCAAAUCUCAAAACUGUACCUUUUCUUCUCUCUCAUUCUAUUUCAACUCAUCACCCGCACCUCUGCAACAACCACCACCAGCUCCGCCAUCACCAACACCGCCACCUCCGCCACCAUCUUUAACUCGAACAUAAUUGUAAUUAACUAAUUUCAUUUGUAAUAACCUAAUUUCUUCUUCAUUUCUCAUCCGUAGAAAAAACGAUCGAGCUGACCACCAUCUUCAUCUCGUCGCCACCAUCAUCUUCAUCUCUGACGCCGCCACCAUCUUCAUCGCCGCCUUAACAUGAUUGAUCAUUCCCAAAAUCAGUUGCCACCAAACGAGCCUUAACUAAAGUCAAGACACUAAUAAUUGUCUAUUAGCGUAAAACGACCAAACUGUCUCGUCGCCACCACCAUCUCAACAAGCAUUUUCAUCAUUAGCAGAAUCAGGAUUAAGAAAUGGGACAAGCACUAUGUUGUGUGCAAGUGGAUCAGUUAAAUGUAUCUAUUAAAGAAACAUUUGGGAAAUUUGAUGAGAUUGUGGCCUAACAAAAGCCUGGAUACGUUUCUCUUUGGUUUGUUUCUUUUCUCAUAUGCAGUACUAACAAACGUCCUUUCAUUUUCUUUAAAAUAUCACAAAUAAUUCUAGUUAAAGGAUGGCCUUGCAUAAACACUUGGAACUUUGUUGUCAAAUUGCAUUCUCCAUGAAUCUAUUUCCCAUCACAGCUAUUUCAUUCGAUUGUGUCGAAUGAAAUCCAAUUCUAGUGUUUGUAACAUAUAUUUUUACCGUAGAUUGACAUAUAUUUGUAUUUACUAUUUUAUAUGUUCAGGACAAUGUUUUUGUGACUGUUGUUGUUUUUGUGCCUUGGCUGAUAAUGCAUCUUAUGCUUUUUACAAGCUUAGCAACACCAAGGAACAGAUCCAAGCGUAUGCUUUUGAUGGUAUAAGUUCUAUUUUGUUAUUUUGUUGUGCUCAAUUUUGUCAAUGUGCAACAGGGGAGUUGGAGAAAGCUGAAACUCAGUUGCAUUCAUGUAUAGGUUCAUUUCUUAUGAAUCAACAAAGAAAUUAUGUGAUAUUUUUGGAGAAAUAAGCUUUUGCGGCGAAAUUGGCUAAAAAAGUAAUUUUUACGC